UAAAUCAAAGUUUAUUUGCAGUUUGAAACCAUAAGUGGAAAUUAUCUAGUAGCUCACGGACAAGUAAGAUACCAUUAUUUGAUUGCCCGAAAUGAAAACUGUCUUGUCCCGGGCAUCGGGCGAAUGGGAUUUUUAACCCCUGCUAUGCAUUAAAGU